UUGCUCCUCAUCUGUUUUGGGUAAAACAAUAUUUUUCUUCGAUUAAUACAAUAUAGCUUUCGCUAAAAUUGACCAACAAAGAAACAUUUUCUACCCAGAAUUAUGUGUGCCUUGAGUUCUUUAUUGAGAUACGUAGGAGCAGGAUUGCAAAAUCUUGCCAGGCCCAUUAAUAAAAAAACUUAGGUUUAGUCCUCUUCGUUGCAAAAAAUCC
rnacentral:lncRNA from 1 species